GACGUAGGAUGCAAGCGUUGUCCGGAUUUAUUGGGCGUAAAGAGUUCGUAGGCUGUUUGUUAAGUCUGAUGUUAAAGACUGGGGCUCAACCUCGGAAAUGCAUUGGAUACUGGCAGACUGGAGUGCAGUAGAGGCUAGUGGAAUUCCCAGUGUAGCGGUGAAAUGCGUAGAUAUUGGGAAGAACACCGGUGGCGUAGGCGACUAGCUGGGCUGUAACUGACGCUGAGGAGCGAAAGUGUGGGGAGCGAACAGG
rnacentral:rRNA from 1 species